rnacentral:rRNA from 1 species
GUAGGUGGCAAGCGUUGUCCGGAAUUAUUGGGCGUAAAGCGCGCGCAGGCGGUUCGUUAAGUCUGAUGUGAAAGCCCACGGGCUCAACCGUGGAGGGUCAUUGGAAACUGGAGAACUUGAGUACAGAAGAGGAAAGCGGAAUUCCACGUGUAGCGGUGAAAUGCGUAGAGAUGUGGAGGAACACCAGUGGCGAAGGCGGCUUUCUGGUCUGUAACUGACGCUGAGGCGCGAAAGCGUGGGGAGCAAACAGGAUUAGAUACCCUGGUAGUCCACGCCGUAAACGAUGAGUGCUAAGUGUUAGGGGGUUUCCGCCCCUUAGUGCUGCAGCUAACGCAUUAAGCACUCCGCCUGGGGAGUACGGCCGCAGGGCUG